ACCUGGCUAGCUCAACUGGUAGAGCAUGAGACUCUUAAUCUCAGGGUUAUUGGUUCAAGGCCCAUGUUGGGCA